rnacentral:tRNA from 1 species
AUUUAUGUAGCUUAAUAAGAGCUUAAUAUUGAAGUUAUUAUGGUGGAGCGUUUAACAUCCUAUAAAUA